GGAGGGAGAUGGCCGCGGAGGGAGAUGGCCGCGGAGGGAGAUGGUCUCGGAGGGAGAUGGUCGCGGAGGGAGAUUUCCGCGGGAAGCGAAGUUUGUGAAGGGCGAAGAGAGAGAGUCAGUGGACACCUCUGGGUGCUGAAGGCAGAGGGAGAAGCUCCGUCAUUCUCCCAGGACUACCCGUGACAUGCGUCAGCUCCAUCCUCCCUCCUGACCGCAUCUUACUUCCUCUAUGCUCUUGGGGACGAGGAAGGCGGUGAUCCACGGCUUCUCCUAAGAGCCAAGAAUCAUCUUUGCUAGAAGCCACAGCAACUUUUUCCUUGAGUUUCGUUGGCAGUAGUGUUGGCUCUUCUUAAAUAGUCACUGGCAGUGGGGAUAGAACCAGCAUUAGCUUAGAGCAGUGGUCCUCACACACGCUACCUCAGCAUCCCCUGGACCACUUGUUAAAAUAGAAUGCGGGAUUCCACCCAGAGUGUCUGAUGACACGGGUCUGGGAUGGCAUUUAUCACAGGUUCCCAAGUGCUGCUGCUGUGGAUCCUGCAACUCUGCUUGAGACCUGCUGAAUCAGACUUGUCUCUAGGAUGGUGAUGGUGAGAGGUCAAUCAAAACGCUGUCCAUGGACUACCACCAUCUCCACUGUGCACACGAGGAAACUGAGGCUGAGAGAUUUCAAGCAUCCAAGUUCACAUUCCCAGAAGGUGGCCAGGCUGGAUUCAAAGCCAAGAAGUCUGAUGAGAAAAUCAAUGUGCUUCACCACCAAGCAGGAGGCUGCUCUGACUGCAGAGAACUUCAGCAGGAGGGCAUGAGAUGGGCCAGACAAGUUGUAAUUAUGUUAUGGAGGUUUUUAUAAACCAGACAAAGGAGCUUAACCUGAAACUGUGGGCCUAGUGCUAGGGAGCCAUAGUAAGUUCUUUAGGGGAAGUGCUUUAUGAAAUUGUUCUGGAGAUAAAUUCCACUCCUGGGCAUAUAUUUGGAGAAAACUGUAAUUCAAAAAGAUACACCCCCCCAAUAUUUACGCUAUUUACAAUAGCCAAGACAUGGAAGCAACCUAAAUGUCUCUUGACAGAUGAAUGGAUAAAGAAGAUGUGGUACAUAUCUGCAAUGGCAUAUUACUCAGCCAUAAAAAAGAAUGAAAUAAUGCCAUUUGCUGCAGCAUGGAUGGAUCUAGAGAUUUUCAUACUAAGUGAAUUAAGUCAGACAAAUAUUAUAUGAUACUGCUUAUAUGUGGACUCUAAAAAUGAUACAAAUGAACCUAUGUACAAAAAAAUAGAACUACAGACAUAGAGAACAAAUUUAUGGUUACAAAAGUGGAAAGGGUGUGGAGAGUAAAUUAGGAGUUUGGGAUUAACAGGUACACACUACUGUAUAUAAAAUAGAUAACCAAGGACCUACUUUAUAGCACAGGGAACUCUACUCAGUAUUUUGUAAUAACUUGAAAAGAAUCUGAAAAAUAUAUAUGUAUAACAAUCAUUUUGCUGUAUAUCUGAAGCCAACACAACAUUAUAGUGAACCAAACUUCAAUUUAAAAAAAAAAAAAAAGGAAUGCGGAGUUCUCGUUGUGGCUCAGUGGAAACGAAUCAGACUAGUAUACAUGAGGACGCAGGUUCCAUCCCUGGCCUCAGUAGGUUAAGGAUCCAUUGCCGUGAGCUGUGGUGUAGGUUGCAGAAGCUGCUGGGAUCUGAUGUUGCUGUAGCAGUGGCAUAGGCCUGUGGCUACAGCUCGGAUUCCACCCCUAGCCUGGGAACUUCCACAUGCUGUGGGUGUGGCCCUAAAAAGACAAAAGAAAAAAGAAUGGGUAAAGAUUUGCUGAAGGGGGGGAUCUUUGGGAAGAAAGCCAGGGAGGAUGAGGAAGGCUGGGUUUCAUGUUAGAAGAGCGAAGGCUCCCUGCAGACGACUUUCCCAUCCACACUGAGAAGCCGGGGCUUCUGGGGUCUGUGUAUUCUUGGGAACCUCCAGCGCUGGCAGGGCCAAGCUGGAUGGGGGCAGCGCGCAUGCCUCUGGCAGCUGCAAUUCACAAGCUCAGCUGUACACCCCAAGGGUCUGGGCUCCUUCCCAGGACGGCCCCAUCACCAGCGCACGCGGGCUGCCGUGCCAGCUAUAGAGCUCCCCGGGAGAGCCAGGCAUAAGCACGUGCUUUGGCUGAGGGGACCUGCUUUCUGCGCUGAGGUUGUGGCCUUUGGUUUUUGUGUUUUCCCAGUUUGCACGUCUGUCAUCUCCGCCUUGGCUUCUUUCAUUUCCUUUUUACAAGUGGGUUUCAGGCUCUUAUUUAUGCCCAGCCACGUGCUAGAUGCUGGGGGACUGAAGGAGACAUGGAGAGCGGGCACUGCAGCGGCCCCCGCCCCUCGGGGGGUGGGCCGGUGCUUUGGCUUGCAAGACGCAUUUCAGCAUCAGAUAGAGGAGAAAACCAAGACAGACUAUAAUCCAGCUUCUUUCUGCUCUGCCUUAGGCAUCUAGCUGAUGAGGCCAGAAGGUCCUCUAAGCUAUCAUCGUUCUCUAGAAGCCAUAACUUCGCUACCUCUGGGCAACUGGGAUAUUUUACCCCACUAGCGGAAUAAAGAGAAGGUGGGCACUGGCGGUGGGGUGGAUGGGGAGUGGGGCAGGGCGGGGCGGUGUCACACAUUAAUGAAGGUUUUCCAGGCUGCCCCCUUGUCCAUCUCUGGCCUCCUGAGGUCUGAGUUCCCUGACCUUCAGCAUGAACUCCCUAGAAUCCUGCAUCACAAAUCCCUGUGUCUUGGCCCAAUAGAUAGCCUGAGGUUGAUGGUCCAGGCUCUGCCCUACAGGUGACCUUGAGUGAAGCAUCCUGUCUCUCUGGCCUGUUUCCCUCUCUAUAAAAUGGGGCGAAUAGCAUGGACUUAUCCCAGAGAUUGGCACAGGAGGUGUUGAUAAUAAAACUCGUCGUAAGAUAUUACCUUGUGGCUCAGCAGGUUAAGGAUCCGGUGUUGUCACGGCUAUGACUUGGGUUUGAUCCAUGGCUCAGGAACUUUUUCAUGCAGAGGGCGCAACCAAAAAUAAAUAAAUAAACUUGUCAUAAAAGU
ensembl:lncRNA